rnacentral:rRNA from 1 species
CAGUCGCCGCGGGAAUACGUAGGGUGCAAGCGUUAAUCGGAAUUACUGGGCGUAAAGCGUGCGCAGGCGGCUCUAUAAGACAGAUGUGAAAUCCCCGGGCUCAACCUGGGAACUGCAUUUGUGACUGUAGAGCUCGAGUACGGUAGAGGGGGAUGGAAUUCCGCGUGUAGCAGUGAAAUGCGUAGAUAUGCGGAGGAACACCGAUGGCGAAGGCAAUCCCCUGGACCUGUACUGACGCUCAUGCACGAAAGCGUGGGGAGCAAACAGGAUUAGAUACCCCGGUAGUCCCUGUCUCUUAUAC